rnacentral:rRNA from 1 species
AUUGAACGCUAGCGGGAUGCUUUGCACAUGCAAGUCGAACGGCAGCGCGGACUUCGGUCUGGCGGCGAGUGGCGAACGGGUGAGUAAUGUAUCGGAACGUGCCCAGUAGCGGGGGAUAACUACGCGAAAGCGUAGCUAAUACCGCAUACGCCCUACGGGGGCAAGCAGGGGAUCGUAAGACCUUGCACUAUUGGAGCGGCCGAUAUCGGAGUAGCUAGUUGGUGAGGUAACGGCUCACCAAGGCGACGAUCCGUAGCUGGUGUGAGAGGACGACCAGCCACACUGGGACUGAGACACGGCCCAGACUCCUACGGGAGGCAGCAGUGGGGAAUUUUGGACAAUGGGGGCAACCCUGAUCCAGCCAUCCCGCGUGUGCGAUGAAGGCCUGCGGGUUGUAAAGCACUUUUGGCAGGAAAGAAACGUCGCGGGCUAAUACCCCGUGGAACUGACGGUACCUGCAGAAUAAGCACCGGCUAACUACGUG